ACCUACAGCCUUAUUAAAGAGACAGACAUUGCAUGCUUGAGGAUUAUAUAACAACAAUGUAUCCUGCUUGAGGACACGUUUCUCCUUCUUGAGAACCUUCCGACUAAUCCUGUUAUCUUAAAAUGUAUAUUAUGGGAGUGGGUCUGGACUGAACGUCUAGCCAGUCAUCAUGCAGGAUAUGAAAAAUCAAUGCAUUGUUGCUCCAAAUGUUAUCAAAGAAGGUCACGCUCUAUCGAUUCCCCAGACCACGUUAAAGCCCUAAAUCGAAAUACUGACAAACCCUUACUCAUUUUCAAUGAUUUUUAUCAGGCUAAAGAGCUAUUUUAUACAUUUUCUGCUAUAAUACAAUCCUGCAGCCUUGCAAGAGCCUCUGGUUUCAGACCACCAAAAUGAUUUGAUUUGAAUAAAUUUAAUAU
ensembl:lncRNA